GAUGAACGCUAGCUACAGGCCUAACACAUGCAAGUCGAGGGACGGGCGCACGGGUGAGUAACACGUAUCCAACCUGCCCUUUACUCGGGGAUAGCCUUUCGAUAGAAAGACUAAUACCCGAUAUAAAGGAUGGGGAUGCGUUCGUUUAGGUUGUUGGUAAGGUAACGGCUCGCCAAGCUUUCGAUGGAUAGGGGUUAUGAGGGGAAGGUCCCCCGCAAUGGAGCUGAGGCCCGGACCAAACUCGUACGCGGCGCAGCAGUGAGGAAUAUUGGUCAAUGAACGCUAGCCUGAACCAGCCAAGUAGCGUGAAGAAGGAAGGCGUAUGGAACGUAAACUACUUUUAUAUAAGAAUAUGUAUUAUAUGAAUAAGGAUCGGCUAACUCCGUGCCAGCAGCCGCGGUAAUAC
rnacentral:rRNA from 1 species